AUUGAACGCUGGCGGCAUGCCUUACACAUGCAAGUCGAACGGUAACGCGGGGCAACCUGGCGACGAGUGGCGAACGGGUGAGUAAUGUAUCGGAACGUGCCCAGUUGUGGGGGAUAACUGCUCGAAAGAGCAGCUAAUACCGCAUACGACCUGAGGGUGAAAGCGGGGGAUCGCAAGACCUCUCGCAAUUGGAGCGGCCGAUAUCAGAUUAGGUAGUUGGUGGGGUAAAGGCUCACCAAGCCAACGAUCUGUAGUGGGUCUGAGAGGACGACCAGCCACACUGGGACUGAGACACGGCCCAGACUCCUACGGGAGGCAGCAGUGGGGAAUUUUGGACAAUGGGCGCAAGCCUGAUCCAGCAAUGCCGCGUGCAGGAAGAAGGCCUUCGGGUUGUAAACUGCUUUUGUCAGGGAAGAAAUCUUCUGGGUUAAUACCUCGGGAGGAUGACGGUACCUGAAGAAUAAGCACCGGCUAACUACGUGCCAGCCGCCGCCGUAACAC
rnacentral:rRNA from 1 species